UUGUCGCUCUCUGUGAGAUGCAGGUCCUGUGCAGGUAUCUGCAAAUGAAGAUGCAGGGAUCUACAGCCUGAUCCCUUAUGUAUCAUCCAAAUCUAUACUAUCAGGUCCUUUUGAAGAAAAUGGAAAGUCAUCUGAAAAUGAGAAUUCUGAUAUGUACCGCGUAUACAGCCCAAUCCUCGACAGACCAGCAACCUCAGCCCAGCCGGAUGGGUUGUACAGUCUUCUGCAGACACACUGACACUACACCACUGGCUUUCUGUAGCUAUGUAUGUGUGUGUAUGUGUGUCUCACAGAAAUACUUUUUCUUGCAGUAUGUCCUUUAUUUAUCAAACAUCAUGUUACUGUAAAUAAGUAUCUAAAUCAUCUACUGCAGUGCCGUUUCUAUUCAUAAGUGAAAUAAGCGGCCGCUAAAGGCCCCCCCUCCCCCCCAAAAAAGUUGGGAAGUCAGUCGGGGUCUCAACAUACUGUUACUUAGGAUAGUAGCAUACACAACGUGCAGUUUCGAAAUGUGGUUCCGCAUCAGCAAUUUUCCUCUUGUUAUGUCAGUCAUAGACAGUCACUCAAUUAGCCCAUAUCAGCUAACAUUUUAUAGAUAGCUGGCGAGACCAACUUGCCUAGCAAUCUAAGCCUUGUAGUAAUGGGCGAAUUACUGCCCAGGGGCCUGACCUACAGGGGGCCCCAAUUGAUUUUGUUAGUCACUCUCACUCAGAUAUCAAAUGAACAUGGCAUAAGUCAUGGCAAAAUGUGUAGAAUUGCAGGAAAUGAUCUAUAAAAUGUCUAAAAUGUCUCUCCAUCCCAUUGCACAAUGUGUAGAAUUGCAGGAAAUUAGCUUUAUAAUUGCAACUUUCUCUCCGCCCCAUGGCAAAAUGAGUAGAAUUGCAUGACAUUAACUGUAAAGCUGCACAGUUAAAUUGAUUUAAAUUAAGUCAUUAAGAUCCAAGGUGGAAUUUUCUAAAAACAAAUGCAGAAAUUCUCCAUGUUUUUUUAUGAAAAAUAUGAAACUGCUUGGCCAUAAUGACCAUUGUUAUGUUUGGAGGAAAAAGGGGGAGGCUUGCAAGCCAAAGAACACCAUCCCAACCGUGAAGCACGGGGGUGGCAGAAUCAUGUUGUGGGGGUGCUUUGCUGCAGGAGGGACUGGUGCACUUCACAAAAUAGAUGGCAUCAUGAGGCAGGAAAAUUAGGUGGAUAUAUUGAAGCAACAUCUCAAGACAUCAGUCAGGAAGUUAAAGCUUGGUCGCAAAUGGAUCUUCCAAAUGGACAUUGACCCCAAGCAUACUUCCAAAGUUGUGGCAAAAUGGCUUAAGGACAUCAAAGUCAAGGUAUUGCAGCUGGACUUGUACCUGGCAACCAUCCACCCGGCUCCUUUGGGCCGUGAGAGGGUGUCCGCCCUCAUCUCGUGCCUCAUCGGGAAAGCAGAUCGGGGUCUGUUGGUUCCAUCCUCCUGCACCCAAUACCCAUGGGUACUCUCCGAUACCCAUGGAGCUGGGAGGGGCGGUGCGCAGGGAGACUGGAGGGGGUUCCAGCUCACUUUUUCCCCGCAUUUUUCCCCGCAUUCCCAGCAU